rnacentral:rRNA from 1 species
ACGGAAGGUGCAAGCGUUGCUUGGAAUCACUGGGCGUAAAGGGUGCGUAGGCGGCCGUGCAAGUCUGGCGUGAAAGCCCCGGGCUCAGCCCGGGAAGUGCGCUCGAAACUGCACGGCUCGAGCACUGUAGAGGCAGGCGGAAUUCCAGGUGUAGCGGUGGAAUGCGUAGAGAUCCGGAAGAACACCGGUGGCGAAGGCGGCCUGCUGGGCAGUGGCUGACACUGAGGCGCGACAGCGUGGGGAGCAAACAGGA